rnacentral:snRNA from 1 species
AUACCUUCCAGUAUGGGGAAUUCCCAGGUGAGGCUCAUUCAUUUGCACUCCGGGGUGUGCUGAACCCUGCGAUUUCCUCAAAAUGCGGGAAACUCGACUGCAUAAUUUUGUGGUAUAUAUAUAUAUACCCAAU